CAGCCGCCGCGGUAAUACGAAGGGGGCUAGCGUUGUUCGGAAUUACUGGGCGUAAAGCGCACGUAGGCGGAUAUUUAAGUCAGGGGUGAAAUCCCGCAGCUCAACUGCGGAACUGCCUUUGAUACUGGGUAUCUUGAGUAUGGAAGAGGUUAGUGGAAUUGCGAGUGUAGAGGUGAAAUUCGUAGAUAUUCGCAGGAACACCAGUGGCGAAGGCGGCUAACUGGUCCAUAACUGACGCUGAGGUGCGAAAGCGUGGGGAGCAAACAGGAUUAGAUACCCCAGUAGUCCCUGUCUCUUAUAU
rnacentral:rRNA from 1 species